rnacentral:rRNA from 1 species
UGGGGAAUAUUGCACAAUGGGCGCAAGCCUGAUGCAGCCAUGCCUCGUGUAUGAAGAAGGCCUUCGGGUUGUAAAGUACUUUCAGCGGGGAGGAAGGGAGUAAAGUUAAUACCUUUGCUCAUUGACGUUACCCGCAGAAGAAGCACCGGCUAACUCCGUGCCAGCAGCCGCGGUAAUACGGAGGGUGCAAGCGUUAAUCGGAAUUACUGGGCGUAAAGCGCACGCAGGCGGUUUGUUAAGUCAGAUGUGAAAUCCCCGGGCUCAACCUGGGAACUGCAUCCGAUACUGGCAAGCUUGAGUCUCGUAGAGGGGGGUAGAAUUCCAGGUGUAGCGGUGAAAUGCGUAGAGAUCUGGAGGAAUACCGGUGGCGAAGGCGGCCCCCUGGACGAAGACUGACGCUCAGGUGCGAAAGCGUGGGGAGCAAACAGG